GACGAACGCUGGCGGCGUGCCUAAUACAUGCAAGUCGAACGCAGUGGGGACGGGUGAGUAAAACGGGGGUAACCUCCCAUCAGAGGGGAUAACACUUGGUAACAGGUGCUAACCCGAUACCGAUGGAUCAACCCGCGGUGCAUUAGCUAGUUGGUGAGGUCACGGCUCACCAAGGCCACGAUGCAUAGCCGACCUGAGAGGUGGAUCGGCCACACUGGUACUGAGACACGGCCCAGACGCCUACGAGAGGCAGCAGUAGGGACUCUGCGGCAAUGGACGAAAGUCGGACCGAGCAACGCCGCGUGAGUGAAGAAGGUUUUCGGAGCGUAAAACUCUGUUGUUAGAGAAGCGGUAUCUAACCAGAAAGCCACGGCUAACUACGUGCCAGCAGCCGCGGUAAUUC
rnacentral:rRNA from 1 species